AGGAGAGAAGAUUUGCUGUUUCUAUAGAAACUCAGACUUUGCUUCAAUUGACACUCCUGCCUCGCUGACCCUAAUGUGGCCUGUUGACCUUUCUUUUCAGGCUGACUCCAGCAAAGCUGUUUUUUCCUGAAGGAACGAGCACGGACAUAGCUUCUGCUCUUGGCCUGAUUCACCUCGUGCUUUUUCCUUGACAACAUGCCCUCUUUUGUCACCAUGAGUAUCAUCAAUGGACCGCAAGUGGCAGAUCUGCAGCAUGUGACACCAGAACUCAAAUGUGCAUCCAAAUGCACCCUUGGAAAAGAUUGAUGCAAUGCCCACUGUUUAUCGUUGCCUUCUACAGCAAAGCUGCUCAGCUGAUAGCCACAAAGGAGUUCUCUUGCAGCUGCAUAGCAAUUCUCUCAGCAAGCAGCAGCCAGCUUGAUCUGACCCUUUGA
rnacentral:lncRNA from 1 species